UACGGGGGGAGCAAGCGUUGUUCGGAUUUACUGGGCGUAAAGGGCGCGUAGGCGGUCGUGACAAGUCAGUUGUGAAAUCUCCGGGCUUAACCCGGAAAGGUCAACUGAUACUGUGCGACUAGAGUGCGGAAGGGGCAACUGGAAUUCUCGGUGUAGCGGUGAAAUGCGUAGAUAUCGAGAGGAACACCUGCGGCGAAGGCGGGUUGCUGGGCCGACACUGACGCUGGAUGCGCGAAAGCCAGGGGAGCGAACGGG
rnacentral:rRNA from 1 species